GAUGCCUGCUGGAAAUGUAGACGUGUGAAGAAUAGACCCGGGGCAGAUAUUUGUGUGAGCACUAAUAGAAUGUGAAGGGAGAGCCAGAUAUUUGCAGUGAUACGAGGUGAGCAGGAGCAGCUGUGUUCGCUAUGUGUACAUACAUGGAAUGCAACACUGCGUCCCAAAGCAUACGUUCGUUUUAAAACAAAUCGCCUAUAGAAACAUAUGAGAUGUGCAAAUACACACCCACCUGCCCACUUACACUCACACAAACACGGGUAGGCUGCACUCCUGGGUGGGCCGUGUAUUGUACAAGACAGGUCCCAGUGCAUGAAAAGUGAGACUCUGUCAAGGAGAAGCAUUGUGUGUGCGUGUGUGUGUGUGUACGUGUGUGUGGUGAUCGUUCAGCCCAGCCAUUCCUAAGGAUAUAUGGUGAAAUAGAUUUCUCCAGGGGAGAGGUGUGUGUAUGUGUGUUCGCCCGGACACAUGGCGAAAUGGAGGCCCAGCAGUGAGUGGAUCAGUAUGAGGGUGGACUCUGUACGCCUCUUGCCCAGCCAAAGAUACAGCACACGUUCCACUCAAUCCCGUCAUGACCUCAGCCAGCACUGGGAGACAAACACCCGUGCUCUGUGCUAUUCCUGAAGGAAAACUCACCACUCCGGGCAUGCAAUGAAUGACUCAGCACUCCGCCUCAUACGUGAUGGUCAACCUGGAGCGCUCCGGUCGUGAUGACAUCACUGCGAAGGAAACCUUUGUCAGCAAAUAUGUAUCAGUGCGUCACAGGAUUAAUGAUAAAGUGCAGUUGAGAUUGACAUCAUACAGUUAAAAAUGACCUUAUUUUGGCAGUAGACGGUUUUAUUUUGGUUCUGCACGUGUAUCUGGGAUGUUUGAGCAGCUGGUCUCUCUUAACGGAGAGAGACUUUCUCACAGGGUCUCUCUCCUGAGGAAAACACCUCUGCGGCAUGUAAGAUGACCACACAUCUAGCACAAACCAAAUGCUUUCGUCCCACCACCCAUCUGUGCGCUGAAAUUUCCCUAUUCUUGAAUGGAUGCCAGUGCAGCGAUUAGUUUGGCUUUGUGCGAACCUGUUUGUUUGGGCCGCACACCCAGCAAAGCUUCUUCUGUCACAGAGCUGUCACUGUCUGCCCCUCUCCUCAAUCUGCAGAGAUUCCUCAGGGAUGGAAUAAUCACAGGUGAGGUUGCAGCCUCACAGUGAAGUGAAAUAACCCUAUACUGUAUAAACAUUACAUCACUACUUCUAUAGGUUGGUGUCUGGCAGUGGUCCACAUUUUACAAGUUCUCAUGUGCUUGAGAAAAAAGGAAGUGGAUUUUACUUCAAUGUCCAUUUCCUCCCACAAACCACAAAUGUUGGAUGGACAACAUAUAUAAUAAUUGCAAUAGAGUGCUAUAGGGAUGACAUAUUUUUGUAGGCCAAACCCAAGAAAUUAGCAUAUUUUCAUUUCUGGUUUCAUCGUCUCAAAGUCUUUUUUUUAAUGGAUUUUUGGUUAAAUGCCUGAAAUAAGUUUUGUGGUGAACACAAGCUCAACGUAUUUUCCAUUUUAUUCCGCAACAUAAAUACUGUUAUACACCCUUGUAAUUGUUUAAUGCUUUUGUCUUGAGUCUGAAAGGGGGUUGCUAACAAGUGUUCCUGAUAAGUGUUUAAAUGGGACUACAGAGGUUUUUGAGACCAUUAAAAAUCUUUCACAACCUCAUUGUAUUUAUAAUCAGGUUUUUGCAAACUACCGUAACUCAAAAUUAAGGAACAAUGUUUAUAAAUGAAGACUAAAGAAUUAGAGUUAGAGGCUUUACAGUGGUGACCAUGAAGUCAUGCAACUGAAGUGUAGUUUGUUUAUAGUCGACAUUUAGAAUUUUACUUCUGGUGAGAAACCACCCAAAACACCCUAGAAACCUCAUGCAGUGCCAUAAAAACCACUCAAAACAAUGUAGUAAACACAUGAGCAUCAUACCAGUGACAUAUGCAAAUGCAAUCACCACUAUUUAUCCUGAAAUGCUGGUAAUAUGGUGCAUUAGUACUAGACUGUGCAUUAGUACUCGACUGUGAAUUAAACGAUUUUAAUUGCGAGUUGCAAUUCCGAGAUUAUGUCUCAAAAUUCUGAUAAUAAAUAUCAACUUUUCAUUUUCUCUUUUCCGCACAGCUCAACUCACGAGUUUAUAACCCACACUUCUAGCAUUUUUCUUUAAAAUUGACAAACUCACAAUUGUUGAGUCAAACUGAGUUGUAAAGUCCAAACUAGGAUAUGUAAACUUGCAUUUGUGAGAAAUUGUGAGAUAAAAUAGAUAAAUGUUAUGUAAAAUGUUAUAUAUUUAAAUAGUAGUUCUAUUGUGAUAAUUAUAAUUUAUUUUUUAUAUUAUAUUUAUAUUUGUUUAAAUCAAAUGUAUAUGUUAAGAGUAGGACAAUAACAGCAGGUUUCAUCCAUAGUCUGUCUGUUUAAACAUCUGUGUUUAGUUUCAAAUGGCAUCUUUGACAACAGUCUACUAUAAAAAUGGUUUGCAUUCCAAUUCUAACAUCCGAAGGCACAAUCAUUUUUUUUCUCUCAUUCCAUGGAUUUUACCUGAUUCCCUCCACUUGUUGCCAGUGUUUUUCUGCCACCACAAUGUGGGCACAGCUGCAAGUGAGGUGACUGUGACAUCUACUCCAAAUCGGUUUGAUUGUUUUAUUAACAUCUACAUACCCCAACCCUAAACCUAUGCCUUAAAAUAAUAAAACUAAUAGUAAUUGUUGUACAGUGUGACAAAUAAAGGUUCAACGCAAUAUUAUAGCUCAGAAAAUUUUUAUUUGAGUAGAAACACCAGAGACCAGAAAUGUAAACCAUCGUUCCAGUUGGGCAAGACUUCUGCGUUCUGGUAAAAGGUGGAUAGAACGGUGAUUAAACUGACUUGGAACAACCUUUCAUACCCAGAGCCCCUUUAUCCUAAUGGGCAACAUGCUGCCCAGGGCCCUGAACAUUAGGGGGCUGCUGAAACAAUUAUCUUUUGCAUUUUAAAUAGGGUUGCCAUGGAAUUGUCCCUAAUUGAAAGGGUUAGUUCACCCGAGAAUGAAAG